UACGACUACAUAUCAGGCAUAUCAAUAAGCGGAGGAAAAGAAACUAACAAGGAUUCCCUUAGUAACGGCGAGUGAAGCGGGAAGAGCUCAAAUUUGAAAUCUCCAAGGUUCUACCUUGACGAAUUGUAGUUUAAAGAAGUGUUUUCUGUUAGAUGAGUAGCAAAAGUUCCUUGGAAUGGGACAUCAUAGAGGGUGAGAAUCCCGUAUUUGGUUAUUCAUUCUAGCUUUGUGAUACACUUUCAAAGAGUCGGAUUGUUUGGGAAUGCAGUCCAAAAUGGGUGGCUAAAUUUCAUCUAAAGCUAAAUAUUGGCGAGAGACCGAUAGCGAACAAGUACCGUGAGGGAAAGAUGAAAAGAACUUUGAAAAGAGAGUUAAACAGUACGUGAAAUUGUCAAAAGGGAAGCGUUUGACACCAGUGUUGUUUUUCCGAAAAUCAAUUACGAAUGGCUUGAUUUUGUGUUGUAUUGACCUUAUCAGCUUUCUGCACUUUUUUCGAGUCUUUCUUAAUGCACUUUUCGGUUAACAAGUCAACAUCAAUUUCUUUUGUUGUAAAAGAGUAUUCGGAAGGUGGCUUUCUUUUCGGAGAAAGUGUUUAUAGCCCUAUACUUCUACAAUCGGAGAGAUUGAGGUCUGCAGCGUAGAUCCUUCGAGGUUAGAUACACUUGUGCUAAGUUGUAGCUUUUCAUAGACAACUUGUUGACUAUGUUUAGUCAUGCGGCUUACUCGCUUGUGCUAUUUUACCUACGCUUAGGAUGUUGAGUAGCGACAUACGCAC
rnacentral:rRNA from 1 species